UAUGAUUUUUCCUGCUCGUUUUGUCGUCGCAAAAAAACCCUAGCCCAUUCCCGUCCGCAUCCCUGCUGCCGCCGCCGCCGCCCUUCCAAUUCCCUCUGCUCCUGCUGCUUCCCUCCACCUCUCCCUCAUCCACGCCGUCAGGGGCGCCCCUCAAGCCCCACCUCGUCGGUUCCCCACCUGGGCUCCUUCUCCCCCACCCCGGGCGAGCACCGGACAGGCAGAGGGAGUGCCUUGGUCGAGGGACAACGAGGCUCGCCGGCUGGGCGACUUCGAGCGCUGGAGGCUAGACAGGCAGAGGCAGGGGCGGAUCCAUGUGGGGGCAUGGGUGCCGUCGCGCCAUCAAAGGCCUCCACGGCGCCCUCUACCAGGUCACCUCUCUCCAAGAUCUCCUUUUUACCCAUGUUUUUACCACUCUCCAAGCUCGCACUAUUGCUCCGGAAAAUUCCCUUUGGAAUUGGGGAUGAAGCAAAUCGAUUUCGAUUGAUUGGCGCCGCGCAGACGACGGGCGUGGGACGGUGCAGGAGGCGUGCCGCGUUUGAGAGCCACUGUGGAUUAUCUUCGAGGUGUCAGGCGACAUUCGCCUCGAGACCUACCUCCGGGUCUCUUCCCACAUGACCAUUGACGGGCGCGGGUAGCGGGUCAGGCUCACCGACAAGGCGCCGCUUGCCUCUGAACUUGUGAUGUCCGGCCAUUGCAUCUGGGAGGAGCUCCUCUUCAGGAAGAAUGCCGAGACGUACGACACUGCUGCGACUGUCGUUCUCGUCCGCGUUUUGACUACACUUCCAGGCAACUGCGAAGGCAAAAUCUACAUGUGAGAAGUGCAGAUGAGCCCCGCUGUGCUAAUUACCCGUAUUCUGAAUUGGUUGCUGAAGUACUUAAGUGAAGUCUAUUGGUGAAGGAGAUGUGAAGAAUGAUAUAGAGCAAGUAGAUAAAAACCGCAGUUGUUGGCCCAAGUUUUACAUGAGUAUUCCUACAUAUAGAUGAAUACCCUUCUGGUGCUAAUCAAGGAUUUGAUAUUCCAUUAGCUUUGGUUAACCUGCCUGAGUUAGUGCCUACACGAGGAGCUGAGCAAAAAUGCAAUGGGGGAGCCCAUCUUAGAAUUGUUUUCCCUUUUCUUGCAAUAGCUUUCAUUUUGCAGUAUAUUAGCUAAUUCUGCGCAGGAUGAUUACAUAUGCAACAUUUGUAAAGGAGUAGACUUGUUAAAAGUUUCAACUAAUAUUAUAUGAUGCCUGCUGGAUUAUUUUCUUGUCAAACUGAAA